rnacentral:rRNA from 1 species
GGGUCAGUAGGUUGGUCGUGCCACCGGUACGUACUGGUCUCACUGAUUCCUCCUUCCUGAAGAACCGUAAUGCCAUUAAUUUGGUGUUGCGGGGAAACAGGACUGUUACUUUGAAAAAAUUAGAGGGUUUAAAGCAAGCUAACGCUUGAAUACAUUAGCAUGGAAUAAUGAAAUAGGACGAUCGAUCCUAUUUUGUUGGUUUCUAGGAUUGACGUA